rnacentral:tRNA from 1 species
GGGCGCAUAGCUCAGUUGGUUAGAGCAGCUGCCUUACAAGCAGCAGGUCGUUGGUUCGAGUCCGACUGCGCCCACCA